rnacentral:lncRNA from 1 species
GUGCAGUGGCACAAUCUCGGCUCGCUGCAACUUCCACCUCCCAGGGUCAAGUCAUUCUCUUGCCUCUGCCUCCCGAGUAGCUGGGAUUACAGGCACACACCAUCACACCCAGCUAAUUUUUGGAUUUUAGUAGAGACGGGGUUUCACCAUGUUGGCCAGGCUGCUCUCGAACUCCUGACCUCACGUGAUCUGCCCUCCACAGCCUCCGAAAGUGCUGAUAUUACCGGUGUGAGCCACCAUGCUCAGCCCUCAAUCAUAUUUUUUGUUUCUUCUUGUCACUUUAAACUUUAUAGUUGCUUCUUGCUUUUUUUUUUUUUUUUGAGACAGGGUCUCACUGUCAUUCAGGCUGGAGUGCAGUGGCAAAAUCAUGACUUACUGUAGCCUCAAACUCCUGGGCUCAAGUGAUCUUCCCACCUCAGCCUCCCAAGCUGAGACUACAGGGACGUACCACCACACCCGGCUCAUUUUAAAAUUUUUUGUAAAGAUGAGGUCUCACUAUGUUGUCCAGGCUGGUCUUGAAUUCCUGGCCUCAAGUGAUCCUCUUUCUUGGCCUCCCAAAGUGCUGUGAUGACAGGCGUGAGCCACUGUUGCCCUCUUUUUAUCUUGUCUUUUAUUACAGUUUUGAUUUUUCCAUUAAUUUAAUAUUUUUUCUUUAUUAAAUGCUUUUUUGGCCAGGCACAGUGGCUCAUGCCUGUAAUCCUAGCACUUUGGGAGGCCGAGGCGGGCAGAUCACCUGAGGUCAGGAGUUCAAGACCAGCCUGGCCAACAUGAUGAAAUGCCAUCUCUACUAAAAUACAAAAAUUAGCCGUGCAAGAUGGCAGGUGCCUAUAAUCCCAGCUACUCCAGAGGCUGAGAUGGGAGAAUCACUUGAACCCGGGAGACGGUGAUUGCAGUGAGCUGAGAUUGAGCCACUGCACUCCAGCUUGGGCGGCUGAGUGAGAGUCCAUCUCAAAAAAAAAAAAAUUAAAUAAAUAAAUAAACAAAUGCUUUUUAAAAAAUAACUUACUUUCUCUUGAUUUAUUAAAUGGAAGGCAUAAGCACAGUUCUAAUGUGCGGCUGUGCUGUGCAGAUGACCCACAGCUUAAGCUAAGGGGGCCAGAAGUUUUUCCCCUCUGUUUUGUGGUGCUGGCUUCCUUUAAUGGGCACAUAUUAUCUUCCUAGUUAAAAAAAUCUUAACCUGAUUGAUAUAGGAGACCUGCUGGCCAGAAGUUCCCCUAAGGUUAAGAUUCCCAUUCCCUGGUGUACAAACCCUGAAUAAUCCCUUCCCCUUGAGUGUGGGUGGGACAUGUAAAUAUCCCACUCCUGUGUACCACCUUUGGGCUGAUGACUCUCUAACCCAGGGGUUGGCAGACUUUUUCUGAAAGGGCCACAUGGCUUUGUGGGCCAUACAGUCUCUGUUGCAAAUACUCAACUCUGCUGCUGUAUUAUGAAAGCAGGCAUAAGGAAUACAGAAAUGGAGUUGGGCACAGUAGUUCAUGCCUAUAAUCCCAGCACUUUGGGAGGCCAAGGUGGGAGGAUUGCUUGAGGUUAGGAGUUGAGGACCAGCCUGGACAACAUAGGGAGACCCCAUCUCUACAAAAACUAAAAAUAAAAAAUUAGCCAGGUGUGGUGGUGCAUGUCUGCAGUCCUAGCUACUUGAGAGGUUGAGGCAGGAGAAUCUUUUGAGCCCAAGAGUUCAAGUUACAGUGAGCCAUGAUCAUACCACUGCAUUCCGCCCUAAGUGAUAGAGCAAGACCCUAUCUCUUAACUAACUAACUAACUAACUAAAUAAAUAAAUAAAUCAGAAUGAAUGGGCUUGACUGUGUUUCAAUAAUGCUUUAUUUGCAAAACAGGCUGCCAGCCCCCUGGCCAUGGUUUACUGACUCUAAACCAUAUCACCUUCCCCAGACCCUUCUCCUGGACUCCAGAUGCACCUCCACCUGCCCUCUGGGCAUCUCAUCUUAGCUGUCUCAGAGGCAGGUCAGACUCAUCUCCUCCUGUAGUCCACUCCUGACACCUAGUUUUUUCCUGUGUUCUCUGUCUUAUAAACCAUAUCCCCAUCUUGUCAAGUGCUGGAGUCGGAAAACCAGACAUGAUCUCCCCUCAUCUCUCUCCCCAACGUCCCAUAUCUAAUCAGUCACCAAUUAGUCUAAUUUCUAAAGUUAUCUCAGAUCUAUGCCCUUGAUUCCAUCUGUACUGCUACCAAUCACUAUUUCCUAUCUCAAAUACCAUGACAGUCCCCUGCAGUGGGCAGAAAAAUGGCCUGGCAAAGAUGUCCACAUCCUAAUCCCCAGAACCUAUGAAUAUUUUGCCUUGCAUGAGAAAAGGGACUUUGCAGAUGUGACUAAAUGAAGGAUCUUGAGAUAGGGAGGUUAUCCUGGGUUAUCCAGAGGGGCCCAAUGUAAUCACAAAGGUCCUUAUAAAAGAGAGGUUGGGUUGGACGUGGUGGCUCACACCUGUAAUCCCAGCACUUUGGGAGGCCGAGGUGGGUGCAUCACUUGAAGGUCAGGAGUUUGAGACCAGCCUGGCCAACGUGGUGAAACCCCCAUCUCUACUAAAAAUACAAAAAUUAGCCGGGCAUGGUGGCAAGUGACUGUAGUCCCAGCUACUCGGGAGGCUGAGGCAGGAGAAUCGCUUGAACCCAGGAUUGUGCCAUUGCACUCCAGCCUGGGCAACAAGAGCAAAACUUCAUCUCAAAAAAAAAAGAGAGGCUGGAGGGUCAGACAUAGAGAAGAGACAUGAACACAAAAGCAGAGGUUGGAGUCAUCCCCUUUGAACGUGGAGGAAGGGGCCAUGACCCCAGGAAUGCAGAUGGUCCCUGGAAGCUGGAAAAGACAUAGACACGGAUUUUCCACUUGAACUUCUAGAAGGAACCCGCCCGGCCAACACCUUAACUUUAUCCCAGUGAGUCUGACUUUGGACUUCUGACCUCCAGACCUGUGUGAUUUGUAUUACAUUUAUGUGAUUUGUAGCCACUCAAUCUGUGGUCAUUUGUUACAGCAACCACAGGGAAGCACUACAUGUCCUAAUCCUCCCUCCAGUCUUGUUCCCCCUCAGCCUGUUCCCCACAUCACCCCAAACACAAAUAUGAUCUGUCCCAUUCCCCACUGAAAACACUUCAGUGACUUCCUGCAUCCUUAGGAUAAAUUGCAAGCUCCUUACAAGACCCCAUCACCCGGCUCCCACCAGUUCAUGUUCUGAUCAUAAUGAAUUUUAUGUCAUGCUCUCUCCUGUUAAACUGGAUGCUCUGUUUAGGACACAUUUUCCUCCUCUCUGUCCAGACUCCUCUAAGUCCUCUUCAGUUCUCAACUUAGACAUCAUUUCCUCAGGGAGCUGGUCCCUGGCCCCAUUCUGAGUUCAGUCCCUCUGUUGAAGACGACACUGUAAUUCCGCUAUCAUAGCCCCGACCUGCUUCAUGUUGGGACAUGAAGUCAGAGACUGCACAUCCAUCUGGUUGGCCACUCUGCACCCAGCACCUUGCCUGCUGCCUGGCACACACCAGGGCACAGUGAAUACAAAAGUGAACAAGGGGCAAGUCCAGGGAGACUGAGUGGAGGUGGAGUUGAGGGGCUCCAGUACUAUCUAAUCUCCCCUUGCAAAAACUGGGGGUGGAAAGUCCAUGGGGAGAGAGAUCUGGAGCAGGCUUAGGGCGGUGGGAGUCUGAAUUGCCCUCAUUUCCCUUUCUGCUCAGCCCUGGUGGGGAAGGUGCUGGGAAGGGGAGCCAGGCGUCACUGCCCCACUGCUACAAUUAGCUGAGCCUUUCAUUCUCCCUCUACAAAGAGGAGAGAGAAAAUCAAAGGGAGAUAAAAGUGAAUGUCCCACAAAGGACAUCGAGAUGAGGGGGAAGGAAGGGAGGGUGGUGGGAGUGAGAGGCAGAGGCAGAGAGAACGCCCUGCGGCCCAAACAAAAGCCUAAAACCAGCGGAUCCCAAGCAUCAGACGGUAGAGACAUAAGGACAGGAAGAGACUGGGCCGCGUGGGGAUCGGGCAGCCCAUCAGCCAAGGAGGAGAGGGAAUGAAGAAAGAUAAAACGCCUAUGUGAAUGGCCAGGGAAGAGGGUGGACAGGGACCCCGGAUGGAGUGAGGACAAAAGCAUGAAAAGACAAGAUCGCCACCAUCCCGCUGGAGUGUGACGGCGCAAUCUCAGCUCACCGCAAUGUCCGCCUCCCAGGUUCAAGCGAUUCUCCUGCCUCAGCCUCCUGAGUAGCUGGGAUUACAGGGAGAAGGCAGGCCUGAGAGGCAAGGAAGCAGACUGGGAACGGGGCCGCAGGGGACUCAGAGCCAGCGUACCUGGUCAUUGCAGGAACACACACAUCUCCACGUUCCAAAGCCCCUCUGAGGGGCCCAGGUCUUCACUCAGAUUGUCUGAACAGCCCCACCAGAUUCCAGCUCGGCCAUCAGGAGCAAAGGAUCAGCCCGUGUCCUCACUUAGGACUGAGCAGCAAGGCGAACCCUACCUUCGCGGCCCUCCUCGUGCUGGGUGCAGUUCAGACUGUGGGCUUGGGGGGAACCUGUGGUUGUGCUUGGCAACCUCCAGAGUUGACUGGCCUUGGAGGGUCUCAGGCUGAGUCGGGGGCUAUUUUUAGUUCAUUUAAUCAUUUAGUUGCUUACUGUCUUUUAUAUCGUUUUAAUAAUCUUUUUUAUUUCUUUUAAUUUACUUUGUCUCUUUUAUUGUCUGCUAUAUUAUUUUUUCUCUUCCUGUUUUCUAUUUUUUCAUCUUAAUAAACUGGAUGCUGGGAGUCUAGGCCUCUGGGGAGAUCCAUGAGGCAGCCCUUGCCCCCAGGCAAAUGAAGCCGGAUGCUCUGCCCUCUCUGAUGGCCCCCAAAUCCCCUUACCAGGCACCUCACAUCCCCAUUGACUCUGCUGACUCGUAAAAACCUCCACCAGUGGAAUUCAGGAGCCCCCAGGCCAGAGUUGUCCCCAGGGUGAUGAUAAUAUAUUUACCUACACUUACACACAUUUGAAGUAUAGGAAAAUGUUGGUAACCCUUUUGCUAUUGUUUUUGUUUGUUUUUUGAGAUGGAGUCUUGCUCUGUCACCCAGGCUGGAGUCCAGUGGUGCAAUCUCGGCUCACUGCAAGCUCCGCCUCCCAGGUUCGUGCCAUUCUCCUGCCUCAGCCUCCCCAGCAGCUGGGACUACGGGUGCCUGCCACCAUGCCCAGCUAAUUUUUUUGUAUUUUUAGUAGAGAGGGUUUCACCGUGUUAGCCAGGAUGGUCUCGAUCUCCUGACUUCAUGAUCCGCCCACCUCGGCCUCCCAAGGUGCUGGGAUUACAGGCGUGAGCCACUGUGUCCAGCCACCCUUUUGCUAUUUUUAUAAUUAGAAAGUUAAUACAUGCUCAUCAUCAAAAAAUAUAAAUCUAAAAGUGUAUGAAGUAGAAAAUGUAAGUCCUCUGUUUCCCCCAAAUCCUUGGGAGAAACCUUGCUAAGAUAAUACAUGUGUGGAACUAAAUCUGCAGCCUAGAUAUACACUUACCCAUUUAAAAUUUGAUAGGUGGCUGGGCACAGUGCUUCAUGCCUAUAAUCCCAGCACUUUGGGAGGCAGAGGCAGGCAGAUCACCUGAGGUCAGGAGUUUGAGACCAGCCUCACCAACAUGGUGAAACCCCAUCUCUACUAAAAAUACAAAAAUUAGCUAGGCGUGAUGUUGCACGCCUGUAGUCCCAUCUACUCAGGAGGCUGAGGCAGGAGAAUCACUUGAACCUGGGAGGUGCAGGUUGUAGUAAGCCGAGGCUGCGCCACUGUACUCCAGCCUGGGCAACAGAGUGAGACACGGACUCAAAAAAUAAAAUAAAAUAAAAUUUAAUAGGUGGCUGGGCAUGGUAGCUAACGCCUGUAAUCUCAGCACUUUUGGAGGCUGAGGCAGGUGGAUUGCUUGAGCUCAGGAGUUCAAGACCAGCCUGGGCAACAUGGUGAGACCCUGUCUUUACCAAAAAAAAAAAAAAUACAAAAAGUUAGCCAAGCAUGGUGAUGUGCACCUGUAGUCCCAGCUACUUGGGAGGCUGAGGUGGGAGGAUCACUUGAGCCCAGGAGGUGGAGGUUGCAGUGAGCCAUGAUUGCGCUACUGCACAAUUGCAACAUUGCACUCCAGCCUGGACCACAGAGUGAGAUCUUGUCUCAAAAAAAAAUAAAAAUAAAAAUUGAUAGUUAAGGCCAAAUUGUCCUUCAGAAAUACUAAGCCAAUUUAUAUUUCUACCAACAGUUUAGGAAAGGGUCCCUUUUCCCUUUGCCUGCACCCUCACCAGCCUUCACCAACACAGCAGCAGGGCUAACCUAGACUUUUGGAAAUUGUUCCUGUAUCUGCCUACCCUUGUUUACCACCCCACCCCAUUCUCAGGCUAUUGGGAUUCAGGGUCGAUGGGAAUGACUCUCGUCCGUUAAUCACCAGGAGAUGCAACAUCCUUGCUGGGCAAGGCUCCUGCUGUGGACUCCUGCUGUGGACUCCCCCCACCGACCAGCACCGUAGGCCAGCUGCUGCCCCUACGAAGGACAUGCCAAUGAGCUCCCUGCAGUCUUGCAGAAGCAAAAACUUGCCCACUCAAGCAGGAGACCCCAGGCAUGCUUGAAGGUGGGCAGGUGCCUGUCUUCAUGUUCAAGUGGGCAGACACCCACCAAAUGCCAAAUGUGAGUCAUGCCUGUGAGUCCCUCAGAAUUUCUCCCAGAUCCUGACCCUCCCACCACAUCUAACAGCAUCGCGUUGCUCCGGGGAAUCCAAGUACUGUGUGUGCGCCCGGCAGGGGCCUGUGGUUAGGAAGGUGGGUGUUCCUGCCAGCCCACUGCUGCUGGGUGGAGAGUCCAAGGAGGGGCAGGGAGGGAGGGAGGUGUUGGUUGCAUAGUCAGCUUCAGAGAUACUCCAUCUGCAGGUGAGAGAGGACGGAUGGGAGGCAGCCCAAGCUAAGGGUAAACAGAUGUGGAGAUCAGGUGGGACCAGGUGGAAGAAGCAGCAGAAAUGAGGUGAGAGGGUGAGGAGGAAAGCUGGCUGGAAGGAGGCCCCCACAUACCCAGGACCUGAGUGCCAGCUGGCUCUUCAAGUCCAGGCAGCUGGUGGAAAGGUGAGAGCUAGUCAGUAUCCCAGAUAACUGGUUUGACGUUUCCUCUCUGAGUUAAUUGAACAGUUAACUUUGGCCACAGAAAACAGCCCUGAAUUUUAUUACUUGGAAGUUAAGACAGACUUUCUCUUUUCCUUCUGCUUCCUCAAUGAUGUGGCUUUCUGUGGGACAAACCUCCCAGAAAGAGAGAGAGAGAGAGAGAGAGAGAGAGAGAGAGAGAUGUUAGUGGCCAUAGUCCAUGGCAGCAGGUGCCUGGGUAGACCAUCA